UAGCACUGUUCUGGAAACUGCUUUUCGUGAUGCCACUCCUGCUGCCUGAGUGAAUCAAUAAACCAUUUUUAACCAGAAUUACAGACCAGUGUCAGGAGGCAGGAGAUCAGCAGUCAAUUAUGGCAGGACAAAACAUUUUAUAAUAAAUAAAAAUACUUGAAAUAAAAUAUUGAAAAAUGUG